AUCUUGCUUAAGCACGACUAUUUUCUUCUAUGAGAGAAAACAUCGAGAACAAUUGAGAUAUUUGACCAAUCGAGACAAUCGACUUAAACAUCGCAGACUCGCCCAUCACUACAGUCAACUUUGCCCAAUCCACAUGAAGGGAGAUCCCGAUGUUUGCGCCAAUUAUCGCGGAAUAAGUCUUCUUAAUAUUGCAUUUCUGUCGACGAUACUGUGUGAAAGACUGAAGCCAUUCACGAACCUGCUAAUUGGACCAUAUCAGUGCGGCUUCAGACCUGCAGCUUUUGAUAGCACGAAGAGGAGCUGCCUCUACGACGUCAUGUCCAAAUUUGGGAUCCUCGCAAAAUUAAUACGGCUAUGUAGAGUGACGUUGGGCACAACCUUCAGCUCCGUCCGAAUUGGGAAGGACCUUUCAAUCUGAUGCUGGAAAGCAUAAUAAGAGCUGCUAAUAUGAAUCGCAGCGGCACAAUAUAUAGCAAAAGAACGACGCUGCUGGCGUAUGCAGAUGAUAUAGAUAUCGUAGGUCUGAAAUAAAAGGACGUAACCGCAGCAUUUUUCAGUUUAGAAAAAGCAGCUAAAUAGCUUGGUCUAGCAGUGAACGAGGGCAAUACAAAGUACCUCCUUGCAACAUAAAAGAGAAGUAAUAAAUAUUUCCAUUUGUUUAUGAAAAAUUUGUAUAAAAAUUAAAAAAUAUAUACAAAAUAA